GUGAGGAAAUUUGCGCAAUGGGGGCAACCCUGACGCAGCGACGCCGCGUGGAGGACGAAGUCUUUCGGGAUGUAAACUCCUGUCAGUGGGGACGAUAAUGACGGUACCCACAGAGGAAGCACCGGCUAACUCCGUGCCAGCAGCCGCGGUAAGACGGAGGGUGCAAGCGUUGUUCGGAAUUACUGGGCGUAAAGCGUAUGUAGGCGGCAAGUUAAGUUCAAUGUUAAAGCCCACGGCUCAACCGAGGAGAUGCAUUGAAUACUGGCUAGCUAGAGGGUGUUAGAGGAAGACGGAAUUCCCAGUGUAGCGGUGAAAUGCGUAGAUAUUGGGAGGAACAUCGGUAGCGAAAGCGGUCUUCUGGGACAUACCUGACGCUGAGGUACGAAAGCGUGGGGAGCAAACGGGAUUAGAUACCCGGGUAGUCC
rnacentral:rRNA from 1 species